rnacentral:rRNA from 1 species
CAGUCGAGGGGCAGCGGGGGUGCAGGCUUGCCUGCACCUGCCGGCGACCGGCGCACGGGUGAGUAACACGUAUGGAACCUGCCCGCCACAGGGGGAUAACCCGGGGAAACCCGGCCUAAUACCCCAUGCCGCCCGGACCGGGCAUCCGGACCGGGCGAAAGGAGGAAUCCGGUGGCGGCUGGGCAUGCGGCGCAUUAGCUUGACGGCGGGGUAACGGCCCACCGUGGCGACGAUGCGUAGGGGUUCUGAGAGGAAGGCCCCCCACACUGGAACUGAGACACGGUCCAGACUCCUACGGGAGGCAGCAGUGAGGAAUAUUGGUCAAUGGGCGGAAGCCUGAACCAGCCAAGUCGCGUGAGGGAAUAAGGCCCUACGGGUCGUAAACCUCUUUUGCCGGGGAGCAAUGGCCGGGACGUGUCCCGGUCCGGAGAGUACCCGGAGAAAAAGCAUCGGCUAACUCCGUGCCAGCAGCCGCGGUAAUACGGAGGAUGCGAGCGUUAUCCGGAUUUAUUGGGUUUAAAGGGUGCGUAGGCGGGCUUUUAAGUCAGCGGUAAAAAUUCGGGGCUCAACCCCGUCCGGCCGUUGAAACUGGGGGCCUUGAGUGGGCGAGAAGAAGGCGGAAUGCGUGGUGUAGCGGUGAAAUGCAUAGAUAUCACGCAGAACCCCGAUUGCGAAGGCAGCCUUCCGGCGCCCUACUGACGCUGAGGCACGAAAGUGCGGGGAUCGAACAGGAUUAGAUACCCUGGUAGUCCGCACAGUAAACGAUGGAUGCCAGCUGUCCGGGCCGAAUGGGGCCUGGGUG